CAGAGAUUGGAAUUUCAAUUCUGUGGCCUAGAACAAGGCGAUGUUCAUGAGUUGGCUCCAGACAUUGAAAUAAAAUAAGGAUUGGAAUGUAGUCAGUCUGAAGGCUGCAAGAAUACAGAAGAGGAGGGGGAAGGGUCUUCUAUGUUUCAUCUACAGUACUUCUAUAUGAUAAUUGAUUAAUGGAAGAUGAAAAAUAUGGCUACAUGAGAAUAUAUUAGUCCUGUUUCUGUAUAUCUUCCACAAGGCAACUAGUUGUCUAGUUCAUAAGUUUUACAACACCAGGACAAGGCACAGCCCGGUCAUGAUACUCACACAGAUACUGUCAACUCUUGUGUGACUGCAGCACUAAGGUGUCAAAAUUUAGACGUUUCCUCAUUAAGAUGUAACAGGUGACAAACUUUGAUCCAAUCAAAUCUUAAAAGAAACGGCUUUUGCUAAAGAUGCUGCCUGUAUCUUGUAACUCUAAGAAUUCAGCCCAUGUUUUAAUGUCAGAGGAAUAGAAGAUUAA